rnacentral:rRNA from 1 species
UACGUAGGGUGCGAGCGUUGUCCGGAAUCAUUGGGCGUAAAGAGCGUGUAGGCGGCCCCUUAAGUCCUGCGUGAAAUCCUGCGGCUCAACCGCAGACGGUCGUGGGAAACUGGAGGGCUAGAGUGCGGGAGAGGAGAGUGGAAUUCCCGGUGUAGCGGUGAAAUGCGCAGAUAUCGGGAAGAACACCAGUGGCGAAGGCGGGUCUCUGGGCCGAUACUGACGCUGAGGAGCGAAAGCGUGGGGAGCGAACAGG